rnacentral:rRNA from 1 species
AGAGUGGGUAGUCCGCACGAGCGCACCUUACUUUUAGUUGCCAUCAUUUAGUUGGGCACUCUGAAAGAACUGCCAGUGAUAAGCUGGAGGAAGGUGGGGAUGACGUCAAGUCCUCAUGGCCCUUACGUGUUGGGCUACACACGUGCUACAAUGGCAUUUACAAUAGGAAGCAAGGCGGCGACGUCAAGCAAAUCCUAAAAGAAUGCCUCAGUUCGGAUUGCACUCUGCAACUCGAGUGCAUGAAGCUGGAAUUAUUAGUAAUCGUGGAUCAGCGUGCCACGGUGAAUACGUUCCCGGGUCUUGUACACACCGCCCGUCACACCAUGGGAGUUGGUUCUACCUUAAGGCAAAGCUUAAAACCUUUGACCACGGUAUAGUCAGCGACUGGGGUGAAGUCGUAACAAGGUAGCCGUAGGGGAACCUGCGGCUGGAUUACCUCCUUUCU